rnacentral:rRNA from 1 species
ACCAGACUCCUACGGGAGGCAGCAGUGAGGAAUAUUGGUCAAUGGGCGGAAGCCUGAACCAGCCAAGUCGCGUGAGGGAAGAAGGCCCUGCGGGUCGCAGACCUCUUUGGACGGGGAGCAAGGCCGCCGACGUGUCGGCGGAAGGAGAGUACCCGUAGAACAAGCAUCGGCUAACUCCGUGCCAGCAGCCGCGGUAAUACGGAGGAUGCGAGCGUUAUCCGGAUUUAUUGGGUUUAAAGGGUGCGCAGGCGGAUUUUUAAGUCAGCGGUCAAAUCGUGGGGCUCAACCCCAUCCAGCCGUUGAAACUGGGGAUCUAGAGUGUGCGAGAGGUAUGCGGAAUGCGUGGUGUAGCGGUGAAAUGCAUAGAUAUCAGGAGGAACACCGGUGGCGAAGGCGGCCUGCUGGACUGCGACUGACGUUGAGGCCCGAAAGCGUGGGGAGCAAACAGGAUUAGAUACCCGGGUAC